rnacentral:rRNA from 1 species
UACGAGUGGUGCAAGCGUUAUUCGGAUUUAUUGGGUGUAAAGGGUGUGUAGACGAUUUAUUAAGUCACCUGUUUAAUUCUCCGGCUUAACCGGAGGCCAGCGGGCGAAACUGAUAGAUUUGAGGAUGGAAGAGAGAAGUGGAAUUCUUGGAGUAGCGGUAAAAUGCGUAGAUCUCAAGAGGAACACCAAUGGCGAAGGCAGCUUCUUGGUCCAUACCUGACGUUGAAACACGAAAGCGUGGGGAGCAAACAGG